CCUGAACACUGCUGAUGCUCGCACCGAUCGAUCAUCGGCAAUCUCUACCUCUAAUGGGCAAUCCAACAUGCCCGAAGACUCAAUAAACCUCUUGCUAAGUGCAAGGGAAACAAAUGAUCGGGUGGCACCCGANCAAUCUCUACCUCUAAAGGGCAAUCCAACAUGCCCGAAGACUCAGUAAACCUCUUGCUAAGUGCAAGGGAAACAAAUGAUCGGGUGGCACCCGAGUCAAACAACACCUGGACAGGAAUACCCUUCACAUGGAACGAUCCUAAUGCAUAUACACAGAGCACAUAACAAUAUCAUAACAUC
rnacentral:lncRNA from 1 species